GUUACUGAGUUCCACUUCCACAGGUGGUGGACCAGAGGGCUUGGUUCGCUGGACCCUCCCAUUCACUGGUUCAAUCCUCGCCUCUGCAGGAGGAGAAGAGGGGCCCCGAGCUCCAUAGGCUCCAGGUCACGAGCCCACCCACUCAUAGCAGGGUAGAGGUGGAAAUUCCUCUCCAUUUCUGCCUGAUCGUUUUGUGUGUCAAGAUGAAGACAGCUACCAAAGCCCCCCAGAUGAGUCCCCCUCCAGCAAAGCUUGGAAAGAGCAGAGGAAGGACAAGGAAUUGCUGUCCCGGCGUCCCUCUUGCUUCUGUCCAGCAUGUUUAUCCACCCCCUUCACCAGGCUCUGGAAACUUCUCCAGGUAAGAGGUCCGGGUAAGAGGCCUCUCAUUCUGCUGAGGAGGAGGAGGCUGAAAGAGAGAAAACGAAACAAAACAAAACAAAACCCCACAAAGCUUCAUCUCCUUCCACGACAGGAAGUUCAAGGUGAAGAAGGGAGAACAGACAGGGAGAGAACAUGUAACGACAUAAUGAACGUGGGACAGAGUCGCCCUUACACAUAACUCUUCCAAGGCUGCCGUCCAAACGGCAGGAAGUCAAGGGCAGCACUUCUGAUCCCUAGAUCUUUCUCUGGCACUCUCGUUCACAGCAAGUCGGUGUGUUAUUCAAGGGCCUCGCUCCAUACCAACCGCUUUAGGAAUCAGAUUUCUGGGAUCCUUUAAUUAAAGUAUCGAGACACGGGGUUAAGAUGCACGACUUAGCAGAAAUGUGGACUGCGCCCAGCACAGCCGGUGGUCUGUUUGGAACUAGUGAAGGCACAGGAGGGUCCUGUCCUGGCUUGCGGGCGUGGGGCUCCGGCUCUAACGUCCGGUUGGGGGCUUGGGGGACGGUGUCCGCUGAGCUGGAGAGCCUGAGUGGGAGCUCUGGGCCGAGCUCCUGGAGACUGAGCCCCACUGCCCUUGAGAAGUGUCUGUAUGUGGAUGCCUAUGGAAAUACCCCAGGCGCCCAGGGAGCAAGAGGGGGGCUGCCCGGCCUCAGUCACGCAGUCCACCUGCCAGUUACUCGGCUUGUGUGUUCUCAGCCUCUGGAUGGAUGAGCUUUCCCAGGGCCCUCGCGGCUCCCAGGAUUUACCCUGCACACUUUUAUUUCUCUGAAUCUGCUAGGCCAUCCUCAGGGCUCCUAUGGCUUGGAUCGUAUCGGUGACCCGGGAACUAAAAGCCCUAAGGUAUCUUUUUAAAAGAGAACUAUAGAUUUGUAUUUAUAUAUUUUUAUAACACGCUGAUAUCUAAGCAUGAAUGUGAACCUACCUCCUAUUGAAAGGCUGCCUGGCGGUGGAGAACCCACCGCACCCAUAUUCGGGGACCAUCCCGCUCCCAUGCAUAUCAAGUCCAGGCUCCCGUGAUCUGUGGAUAGUAACGAGUCGCCUAAAUAGCAAUGAUCCAGAUUUCACAGGCUCUGACCACCAACCACCCCCGCCCCCCCACAGACACACACACACCAACACACAGAAGACAGGAUUUUCAUCCCCUGUGCCACCCUCCAAGAAUAUCUGUGGGUCCCGAGAGGUGUCUCACGGGUGCUCGCCACAGCCCUGCCAUUGUUCUGCUGACGCCCCACCAACUCCACUGAUGGUCCGGGUCUGUGCCCCCCACCCCCAAGAGAACAUCCAAGUCGUCCCUGAGUGCCCUGACCCCCACAUUAGUGGAGGAAACAGCCCUCUCCUGCUGUGUGAUUCCUCCUCCCUCAAAGCAGAACCCCUUCCCCCACCCCCCCGGACCCCAUGCAUCAACUCCUACAGCCCAGCCUGAAGACCUUCUCGCCUGGAGACUGAACGCAGAUUUUCAAUGCGGAGCUACGGACAGUUCCGGAGACAAAUACCGCUGUGGCUUUCCCUUUCAGCUUCUCCCCCAGCUACCUGCCUUCCUCCCCCUUCGGCUGAAGCUCCCCGCCCCCCAAUUCAUGCCGCCCAAAGCCAUGAGUCUGCCUGUCAGGUCUGGAUCCUAGCUCAUGUCCAGGUUAGGACCCAGGUGACAUUCUUCCCUUCGGGCUAGUCAACAAAAAGUAGAUCCAAAAUUGAGUUGAGGAGCAGGAAUACUCUCGGCAGCGUCUCCCUUCCUUGAAUUUUGGGACAGCUCCUUCUUCAGAGCUAAGUAUUCAGGGACUAUCACUGGGCUGUCUCUUUAGUCCUGUUAAGUAUGUGCGUGUCAACGAAUCCAGAAUAUUGCAUGGAUACUCUGUGAAAAUAAGCAGCAAAGAGGAGUCCAUUCUGUUCUUCCAGUGACCAAGAGUCAGAUGAGAUCUUAUUAAAUGUAAUCAGCCA